rfam:Canis lupus familiaris chromosome X, whole genome shotgun sequence.
GGGGGGAGGCCGGAUCCUGGGCUGUGUCCCGGCGCCCUGUGCUCCCGGGCCUGCGCUGUUGGAUUCGCGCUCCCGCCCCGGAGCCCCCU